rnacentral:rRNA from 1 species
CCUAGCCCUUCAGAGGGGACAACAGUUGGAAACGACUGCUAAUACCGCAUACGAUCUAACCUCGGCAUCGAGGAUGGAUGAAAGGUGGCCUCUAUUUAUAAGCUAUCACUGAAGGAGGGGAUUGCGUCUGAUUAGCUAGUUGGAGGGGUAACGGCCCACCAAGGCGAUGAUCAGUAGCCGGUCUGAGAGGAUGAACGGCCACAUUGGGACUGAGACACGGCCCAG